UACAGAGGGCUCAAGCGUUGUUCGGAUUCAUUGGGCGUAAAGGGUGCGCAGGCGGCGCCGCAAGUCGGGUGUGAAAUUUCGGAGCUUAACUUCGAAACUGCAUUCGAUACUGCGGUGCUUGAGGACUGGAGAGGAGGCUGGAAUUCAUGGUGUAGCAGUGAAAUGCGUAGAGAUCAUGAGGAAGACCAGUGGCGAAGGCGGGUCUCUGGACAGUUCCUGACGCUGAGGCACGAAGGCCAGGGGAGCAAACGGG
rnacentral:rRNA from 1 species